rnacentral:misc_RNA from 1 species
UGCCUUUAGCAAUCUCAGAGCCAGG